UGGGGAAUUUUGGACAAUGGGCGAAAGCCUGAUCCAGCAAUGCCGCGUGUGUGAAGAAGGCCUUCGGGUUGUAAAGCACCUUUGUCCGGAAAGAAAUCCUUGGCUCUAAUACAGUCGGGGGAUGACGGUACCGGAAGAAUAAGCACCGGCUAACUACGUGCCAGCAGCCGCGGUAAUACGUAGGGUGCAAGCGUUAAUCGGAAUUACUGGGCGUAAAGCGUGCGCAGGCGGUUUGCUAAGACCGAUGUGAAAUCCCCGGGCUCAACCUGGGAACUGCAUUGGUGACUGGCAGGCUAGAGUAUGGCAGAGGGGGGUAGAAUUCCACGUGUAGCAGUGAAAUGCGUAGAGAUGUGGAGGAAUACCGAUGGCGAAGGCAGCCCCCUGGGCCAAUACUGACGCUCAUGCACGAAAGCGUGGGGAGCAAACAGGAUUAGAUACCCUGGUAGUCCACGCCCUAAAACGAUGUCAGCUAGUUGUUGGGGAUUCAUUUCCUUAGUAACGUAGCUAACGCGUGAAGUUGACCGCCUGGGGAGUACGGUCGCAAGAUUAAAACUCAAAUGAAUUGACGGGGUCAUA
rnacentral:rRNA from 1 species